CCGAGGACAUCGUCGACUAACGGCCACCAAUCCGCGUUGNNCCCGGAUACGACGACUAGGUUCGUAAAUCCGUGCGCGGGCGACCUGCCGACGAGCCUGAACGCACUAAGCACGUUCGCCGUGUGAACACGACGAACGAUAUCGUGCGGCCCGUUACCAUUGUCAAUCGGUACGAUGACUUAUACCGCCNGGCAGCCGGCCGGGAUAACGACGGUCUGCCGUGUGCGCGCGUGAACGCGACGCGACAGUCUACCUUGCCGUACCGUAGGCCGACACCCAACGGGUCGCGACGUUCUACUAGGGGAGAAGUGCACAUCAACGAUAAUCGGACACGACAAGCGAAACGUGCCGCCGAGCCGAAACUCGACGAAUCAUCGCCAUCCGCGAGCGAGCCGACACGCUGACGGUGAAUCUCCCCAUUCGAUCUUUUGGGUUUCUCAGGUUUA
rnacentral:rRNA from 1 species